GACGAGGGGGGCGAGUGUUAUUCAACGUGAUUGGGCGUAAAGGGUACGUAGGCAGGUCUCGUCAUAAGGUGGUCAUGCAGCACGGCGCAACCGUGGGGGGCCACCUCUCCAAUGAGUGACCUUGAGUCCAGUAGAGGUUUGCGGUAUUCUUAGAGUAGCUCAGACGGUGUAGAAUCUAAGGAGACCCUCAGGUGCGAAGGCGGCAAACCAUUCCUGACUGACGCUGAGGUACGGAGGCUUGGGGAUCGAACAGG
rnacentral:misc_RNA from 1 species